rnacentral:rRNA from 1 species
ACUCAAAUGAAUUGACGGGGGCCCGCACAAGCGGUGGAGCAUGUGGUUUAAUUCGAUGCAACGCGAAGAACCUUACCUGGUCUUGACAUCCACAGAACUUUCCAGAGAUGGAUUGGUGCCUUCGGGAACUGUGAGACAGGUGCUGCAUGGCUGUCGUCAGCUCGUGUUGUGAAAUGUUGGGUUAAGUCCCGCAACGAGCGCAACCCUUAUCCUUUGUUGCCAGCGGUCCGGCCGGGAACUCAAAGGAGACUGCCAGUGAUAAACUGGAGGAAGGUGGGGAUGACGUCAAGUCAUCAUGGCCCUUACGACCAGGGCUACACACGUGCUACAAUGGCGCAUACAAAGAGAAGCGACCUCGCGAGAGCAAGCGGACCUCAUAAAGUGCGUCGUAGUCCGGAUUGGAGUCUGCAACUCGACUCCAUGAAGUCGGAAUCGCUAGUAAUCGUGGAUCAGAAUGCCACGGUGAAUACGUUCCCGGGCCUUGUACACACCGCCCGUCACACCAUGGGAGUGGGUUGCAAAAGAAGUAGGUAGCUUAACCUUCGGGAGGGCGCUUACCACUUUGUGAUUCAUGACUGGGGUGAAGUCGUAACAAGGUAACCGUAGGGGAACCUGCGGUUGGAUCACCUCCUUACCUUAAAGAA